rnacentral:rRNA from 1 species
UACGUAGGGGGCAAGCGUUAUCCGGAUUUACUGGGUGUAAAGGGAGCGCAGACGGCAGUGCAAGUCUGAUGUGAAAGCCCGGGGCUCAACCCCGGAACUACAUUGGAAACUGUACAGCUGGAGUAUCGGAGAGGUAAGCGGAAUUCCUAGUGUAGCGGUGAAAUGCGUAGAUAUUAGGAGGAACACCGGUGGCGAAGGCGGGUUACUGGACGACAACUGACGUUGAGGCUCGAAAGCGUGGGGAGCAAAC